rnacentral:rRNA from 1 species
UCGGGAAUCUUGGGCAAUGGGCGAAAGCCUGACCCAGCAACGCCGCGUGAGGGAUGAAGGCCCUCGGGUCGUAAACCUCUGUCGGGAGGGCAGAAAGGUCGUCGUUCGAAUAGGACGGGGGCUUGACGGUACCUCCAAAGGAAGCGCCGGCUAACUCCGUGCCAGCAGCCGCGGUAACACGGAGGGCGCGAGCGUUGUUCGGAAUCAUUGGGCGUAAAGCGCGCGUAGGCGGCUUGGCAAGUCGGGUGUGAAAUCCCGGGGCUCAACCCCGGAACUGCACUCGAAACUGCCUCGCUAGAGUCCCGGAGAGGAAGGCGGAAUUCCCGGUGUAGAGGUGAAAUUCGUAGAUAUCGGGAGGAACACCAGCGGCGAAGGCGGCCUUCUGGACGGUGACUGACGCUGAGGUGCGAAAGCGUGGGGAGCAAACAGGAUUAGAUACCCGCGUAGUCC